CAGGUCCUCUUCCGUUGGACUCAGGGCCUUUGUACAGACUGUCCUCCCCAUUAGGAAAGUUGCCUCCUCUUUUUCACCAGUCUAAAUAAUAAGGUUCUUUCAUACUUUAGCUUAGCCAUCACUUCUACAGAAAUACCUUCUCUUACUUAACUGACUAGGUCAAAUUCGCCUAUUACAUGCUGUCAUAAUACUAUUUAUUCUCCUGAGUACUAAACACCAUAGCAAUUUAUGUCAUAAGCUUGUAAAAUUUAGUAUCUAUUAUCCUACACUGUGAGUCUCUGGAAGAUACACUGAAAGCCCUAAGUAAGUAUUUAUAAAAUGAAUGAAUGAAUGAAUGCUCUCUCAGAAUAAUGAUUCCAUAAAUUGUUUGCAACAAAUUUUCCUCAUGGUCAAUAAGUAUUUGUUGAAAGACUUAAUGACUCUCACUAUGCCCACCGUUUUACCUACAAAAUAGGUGCCUACCCUGAUUACUACAUAGGAGCUUUAAAGAUAUAAAAAAUAAUCACAGUGUUUGAGAUUAAAAUGGCAUCUGUAUUAGUUUGGAUAGGCUGAGUACACUACUGAAUCGAAUAGAUGCAAACAGAGUGGCUUGCGUACAACAGAAGUUUAUAUCUUGUUUAUAUAAUUGUUCAGAACAGGUGUUCAGGUCAGCAGGCAGCUUUUCUCUGUGCAUUGAUUCAGGAAUCAAAGUUCCUCCCAUUCUGUGGCUUCCCCGUGGUCUUGUUAUCAUCUGCAUUCAGCCAGGAAAAAAGAGAAUGGAGGAAGAAUUGCUGUUCUCCAAAAAAGCUCCAGUCCCGAAGUGGCAAUCACUCUUAUUCAUCAGCGAAAUAUGGACAGUGGACGCUUGAGGAGAGAGAACCUUCUGCAAAUGGCCUAUUAGCAUGUUACUGUUGGAGCACAUUCAUCAGUUCUUCCUGAGAUGGGCAAACACUGUGAAGGCAAGUGGACUUACUCAUUUCCUUCAGACCUUGUAAUCUCAUCAAUUUAUAUUCUAUGGGAUCCCUGGGUGGCACAGCGGUUUGGCGCCUGCCUUUGGCCCAGGGCGCGAUCCUGGAGACCCAGGAUCGAAUCCCACAUCGGGCUCCCGGUGCAUGGAGCCUGCUUCUCCCUCGGCCUGUGUCUCUGCCUCUCUCUCUCUCUCUCUCUCUGUGACUAUCAUAAAAAAAAAAUUGUGUUCUAGUUCAUCAUUUCUGAUCUAAUGCACAUAUUGGUCACAUGUCA
rnacentral:lncRNA from 12 species